rnacentral:rRNA from 1 species
UGAGGAAUAUUGGACAAUGGGCGCAAGCCUGAUCCAGCCAUGCCGCGUGCAGGAAGAAGCAUCUAUGGUGUGUAAACUGCUUUUGCACGGGCAGAAACACUCCUUCGUGAAGGAGCUUGACGGUACCGUAAGAAUAAGGAUCGGCUAACUCCGUGCCAGCAGCCGCGGUAAUACGGAGGAUUCAAGCGUUAUCCGGAAUCAUUGGGUUUAAAGGGUCCGUAGGCGGUUUAGUAAGUCAGUGGUGAAAGCCCAUCGCUCAACGAUGGAACGGCCAUUGAUACUGCUAGACUUGAAUUAUUAGAAAGUAACUAGAAGAUGUAGUGUAGCGGUGAAAUGCUUAGAUAUUACAUGGAAUACCAAUUGCGAAGGCAGGUUACUACUAAUGGAUAGACGCUGAUGGACGAAAGCGUGGGGAGCGAACA